rnacentral:rRNA from 1 species
AUUGAACGCUGGCGGCAGGCCUAACACAUGCAAGUCGAGCGGAGCGGCGGACGGGUGAGUAAUGCCUAGGAAUCUGCCUGGUAGUGGGGGAUAACGUCCGGAAACGGGCGGUAAUACCGCAUACUUCCAGCUGAGCCUAGGUCGGAUUAGCUAGGUGGUGUGGUAAAGGCCUACCAAGGCGAAGAUCCGUAACUGGUGUGAGAGGAGGAUCAGUCACACGGGAACGGAGACACGGUCCAGACGCCUACGAGAGGCAGCAGUGGGGAAGAUUGGACAAUGGGCGAAAGCCUGAUCCAGCAGUGCCGCGUGUGUGAAGAAGGUCUUCGGAUUGUAAAGCACUUGAAGUUGGGAUGCGUUACCAACAGAAUAAGCACCGGCUAACUACGUGCCAGCAGCCGCGGUAAUUC